rnacentral:rRNA from 1 species
AGUGAACGCUGGCGGCAGGCCUAACACAUGCAAGUCGAACGGCAGCACAAGAGAGCUUGCUCUCUGGGUGGCGAGUGGCGGACGGGUGAGGAAUGCAUCGGAAUCUGCCCAUUUGUGGGGGAUAACCUCGGGAAACCGGGACUAAUACCGCAUACGUCCUACGGGUGAAAGCAGGGGAUCUUCGGACCUUGCGCAGAUGGAUGAGCCGAUGCCGGAUUAGCUAGUUGGAGGGGUAAAGGCCCACCAAGGCGACGAUCCGUAGCUGGUCUGAGAGGAUGAUCAGCCACACUGGGACUGAGACACGGCCCAGACUCCUACGGGAGGCAGCAGUGGGGAAUAUUGGACAAUGGGCGCAAGCCUGAUCCAGCCAUGCCGCGUGUGUGAAGAAGGCCUUCGGGUUGUAAAGCACUUUUGUUGGGAAAGAAAAGCAGCCGGUUAAUACCCGGUUGUCAUGACGGUACCCAAAGAAUAAGCACCGGCUAACUUCGUG